rnacentral:rRNA from 1 species
AGUGAACGCUGGCGGUAGGCCUAACACAUGCAAGUCGAACGGCAGCACAGUAAGAGCUUGCUCUUACGGGUGGCGAGUGGCGGACGGGUGAGGAAUACAUCGGAAUCUACUUUUUCGUGGGGGAUAACGUAGGGAAACUUACGCUAAUACCGCAUACGACCUACGGGUGAAAGCAGGGGAUCUUCGGACCUUUCGCGAUUGAAUGAGCCGAUGUCGGAUUAGCUAGUUGGCGGGGUAAAGGCCCACCAAGGCGACGAUCCGUAGCUGGUCUGAGAGGAUGAUCAGCCACACUGGAACUGAGACACGGUCCAGACUCCUACGGGAGGCAGCAGUGGGGAAUAUUGGACAAUGGGCGCAAGCCUGAUCCAGCCAUACCGCGUGGGUGAAGAAGGCCUUCGGGUUGUAAAGCCCUUUUGUUGGGAUAGAAAAGCAGCAGGUUAAUACCCCGCUGUUCUGACGGUACCCAAAGAAUAAGCACCGGCUAACUUCGUG